rfam:Sorghum bicolor cultivar BTx623 chromosome 7, whole genome shotgun sequence.
AUUUCAUGAUGGGGAUAUUCUAGGAUGUAGUCUUGGAAGCGCUCCCAUGCGUCUGGAACAGAUUCAUCAUUUUGUUGCUGAAAACUUGUAAUCUUCCCACGGAGAGC